rnacentral:lncRNA from 1 species
AACCGGUUCGUGAUAUUUAGCUGGGUUAUGGUUAAGUGGGUCAGGCUGGGUUGUGGUUAAGUGGAUCGGGCUGGGUUUGGAUUUAAUAGUAAAUUUUUUAAAAACAACCCUGAACUGGUCCACUUAGCCAAACCCGAUUUAACCCACCUAAAUUCGGUCAAAUCCGGUUAAAAAUUCAGUCAAAACCGAUCAAAAAUAAAUAAAAAAAGUUUUUUUUCAAUAUACACUAUAUAUAUUCACCUAUGUAUAUUUUAAAUACGUUAAACAAUAUAUAUACACUAUAUAUAUAGUAUAUACGACAUUACAAUUUAAAAAAUA